rnacentral:rRNA from 1 species
AGUGAACGCUGGCGGUAGGCCUAACACAUGCAAGUCGAACGGCAGCACAGUAAGCGCUUGCUCUUACGGGUGGCGAGUGGCGGACGGGUGAGGAAUACAUCGGAAUCUACUUUUUCGUGGGGGAUAACGUAGGGAAACUUACGCUAAUACCGCAUACGACCUACGGGUGAAAGCAGGGGAUCUUCGGACCUUGCGCGAUUGAAUGAGCUGAUGUCGGAUUAGCUAGUUGGCGGGGUAAAGGCCCACCAAGGCGACGAUCCGUAGCUGGUCUGAGAGGAUGAUCAGCCACACUGGAACUGAGACACGGUCCAGACUCCUACGGGAGGCAGCAGUGGGGAAUAUUGGACAAUGGGCGCAAGCCUGAUCCAGCCAUACCGCGUGAGUGAAGAAGGCCUUCGGGUUGUAAAGCCCUUUUGUUGGGAAAGAAAAGCAGCAGGUUAAUACCCCGCUGUUCUGACGGUACCCAAAGAAUAAGCACCGGCUAACUUCGUG